rnacentral:rRNA from 1 species
UACGUAGGGGGGCUAGCGUUGUCCGGAAUCAUUGGGCGUAAAGCGCGUGUAGGCGGUCCGGUAAGUCCGCUGUGAAAGUCCAGGGCUCAACCCUGGAAUGCCGGUGGAUACUGUCGGGCUAGAGUCCGGAAGGGGCGAGUGGAAUUCCUGGUGUAGCGGUGAAAUGCGCAGAUAUCAGGAGGAACACCAAUGGCGAAGGCAGCUCGCUGGGACGUGACUGACGCUGAGACGCGAAAGCGUGGGGAGCAAACAGG